rnacentral:rRNA from 1 species
UGAUCCGGCGGUUCCGAGUGGAAGGGCCGUCGCUCAUCGGACAAAAGGUACCCCGGGGAUAACAGGCUUAUCGCGCCCAAGCGUCCACAGCGACGGCGCGGUUUGGCACCUCGAUGUCGGCUCAUCGCAUCCUGGGGCUGAAGUAGGUCCCAAGGGUUCGGCUGUUCGCCGAUUAAAGCGGUACGUGAGCUGGGUUUAGAACGUCGUGAGACAGUUCGGUCCCUAUCUGCUGUGGGCGUAGGAGAUUUGAGGGAAGCUGUCCUUAGUACGAGAGGACCGGGAUGGACGUGCCUCUAGUGCACCAGUUGUCGCGCCAGCGGCAUAGCUGGGUAGCUAUGCACGGACGGGAUAAACGCUGAAAGCAUAUAAGCGUGAAGCCCCUCCCAAGAUAAGAUCUCCCGGGCGAAAGCCCCUGAAGGCUCCAGGUAGACCACCUGGUUGAUAGGCUGCAGGUGUACGUGCAGUGAUGCAUUCAGCCGAGCAGUACUAAUAAGCCGUGAGGCUUAAUCAU